AUUGAACGCUGGCGGCAUGCUUUACACAUGCAAGUCGAACGGUAACAGGCCGCAAGGUGCUGACGAGUGGCGAACGGGUGAGUAAUGCAUCGGAACGUGCCCAGUCGUGGGGGAUAACGCAGCGAAAGCUGUGCUAAUACCGCAUACGAUCUAUGGAUGAAAGCGGGGGACCGUAAGGCCUCGCGCGAUUGGAGCGGCCGAUGUCGGAUUAGGUAGUCGGGGGGGUAAAGGCUCACCAAGCCAACGAUCUGUAGCUGGUCUGAGAGGACGACCAGCCACACUGGGACUGAGACACGGCCCAGACUCCUACGGGAGGCAGCAGUGGGGAAUUUUGGACAAUGGGCGCAAGCCUGAUCCAGCAAUGCCGCGUGCAGGAAGAAGGCCUUCGGGUUGUAAACUGCUUUUGUACGGAACGAAACGGCGAGCUCUAAUACAGUUUGCUAAUGACGGUACCGUAAGAAUAAGCACCGGCUAACUACGUGCCAGCCGCCGCCGUAA
rnacentral:rRNA from 1 species